AAGGAUUCCCCUAGUAACGGCGAGUGAAGCGGGAAGAGCUCAAAUUUGAAAUCUGGCAGUCUUCGAUUGUCCGAGUUGUAAUCUAUAGAGGCGUUUUCCGUGCCGGACCGUGUCCAAGUCUCCUGGAAAGGAGUAUCAAAGAGGGUGAUAAUCCCGUACUUAACACGACCACCGGUGCUCUGUGAUACGUCUUCUACGAGUCGAGUUGUUUGGGAAUGCAGCUCAAAAUGGGUGGUGAAUUCCAUCUAAAGCUAAAUAUUGGCGAGAGACCGAUAGCGAACAAGUACCGUGAGGGAAAGAUGAAAAGCACUUUGGAAAGAGAGUUAAACAGUACGUGAAAUUGUUGAAAGGGAAACGAUUGAAGUCAGUCGUGUUCUUUGGAUUCAGCCAGUUCUGCUGGUCUACUUCCUUGGAACGGGUCAACAUCAGUUUUGUCCGGUGGAUAAAGGUAGUAGGAAUGUGACUUCUCCGGAAGUGUUAUAGCCUAUUAUCACAUACACUGGGUGAGACUGAGGACUGCAGCUCGCCUUUAUGGCCGGCCUUCGGGCACGUUCGAGCUUAGGAUGUUGACAUAAUGGCUUUAAACGACCCGUCUUGAAACACGGAC
rnacentral:rRNA from 1 species